rnacentral:rRNA from 1 species
UACGUAGGCAGCGAGCGUUGUUCGGAGUUACUGGGCGUAAAGGGUGUGUAGGCGGUUCUUUAAGUUUGGUGUGAAAUCUCCCGGCUCAACCGGGAGGGUGCGCCGAAUACUGAGGGACUAGAGUACGGGAGAGGAAAGUGGAAUUCCUGGUGUAGCGGUGAAAUGCGUAGAUAUCAGGAGGAACACCGGUGGUGUAGACGGCUUUCUGGACCGUAACUGACGCUGAGACACGAAAGCGUGGGGAGCAAACAGG